ACGAGAUGGGGGCGGGACGAUUCCGAAUACAUCACUAGGGAAAGACCCUCUGGAACAUAGUGGGAAGAGGUUGGUUAGCGCAGGUGGGCUGGUUCAUCCUUGGCCGGAUCGCAGCAUCUCUGAAGGCUUCCCCGAGGAGAAAAUACUCGUAUCUGAGUUUUUAUUUGUCCCGCAGCAAAAAAUAUUUGCAGUAAAAAACUGAAAUCCCUGAAGAUGUAGAUGAGCCUGUAUCUAAAAAGAACUUGACACAUUGAUGCUUUUUCCUGUUCCCUACUUUUAUCCACCAUUGUUCUCCAUCUUUUUCCUUCCCUGUUGGAAAAAGGGAGAGGAAUAUAUGGCAUCAACAGAUGGACAAGAAAUAUGAAAAAAACGAAAAAGAAGAGAAACUAAAGUCAGAGAGCAACAGAAUAAAUUUGGAAUACUCUACAUGUUAUAUGGGCAGGCCAAACGUCAGAGAAUAGAAGAAGGCCGCAGAAAAUAUCUCUUCUACACUAUUAAUUGAUACUAAUCAAUUGGGACAUGUAGUCAAGGAAGUGGAAAUAGUAAAUAAAUUCCAGUUGGUUGUUCCAAGAUGCGAGUAAUUAGAGAAGCCAUCUCUAUCUCUGCAGUUCAGGCAGCCUCAUGAUUCACCGCUAAGGCUUCGAAAGGAAACUUCACAAUAAUAUCAUUAAUCUGUGAGGAAUUUCCUCAUCUGGGACAUCUGUUGAAGGAAUGUCACAAACAAAUGUACAGUCCGUUCAUAACCUGCUCUCAAUUCACAACUUUAUAGAAAGCAGAAGCAAUAUUAUUAAAACUUUAUGAUCUGAAAAAAUAUAACAAAAUGCAUUGUGCUUCCCUUGUUAAUGCAGCUCUACAUAAAUAACUGUUUCUUUGUAAACUUAUUAAUGUUUGAAUAUUGUUUGGGCUGUGGAUCUGAAUAUACUUUGACAUAUGAUCAGCCUUUUCCAGUACACAUUAUAUUUUUUCUUAUGUAAAAUACAUAAACAUAAUGAUAUUUUUCUCAUACAAUAUUUUGCUAUCAUCCUGCCUUUAUAUAAGUUAUGCAAAAGAGCAAGCAGAUACAGACAGAGCUUAUAUAUUGCAACAUAUUUCUCUGCUGCUGAAUUCUCAUCUUCCAAAGCUGGUUACCAUUAUUUGGAACAUGGAAAGUUGGGGAAUCAAUCAUUAGCAUUUCACUUUCUCCCAACUAAAAUAAAUGGUAACAUAUUUAGGAGAAU